UCUCUCUCUCUCUCUCUCUCUCUCUCUCUCUCUCUCUCUCUCUCUCUCUCUCUCUCUCUCUCUCUGUGCUUUGCGUCUGUGUCUACGAUGCCCUAGCCCCCGAAAUCACUCUCAUCUGCUCUAUAUCUCAGUAUGCUAUCUGUGAUGCCGAAUGGUGGAAGUGCUUUAGGAUCCAAGAGAUUAGAAUGUAUUUCCGUUUGGGGCAGUUGGUAGUGGCAUCAUUGCUCAGCCGGAAUAUCAAAUCUCGGCUAUUACUACGAGAACCUGAGAAAGCAAUCACCUUGUUCAUAUGAUUUUAUACCUUACAAAGAUCUCUCUCAAUCAGAUCCCUCGGAAGUUGCUACUUGUUGGAUUUAUUUUGUAAUUCAUACCUUGUAGUUUUGUAUUUUGUAUUAUAAUGUAAUGUGUAAAUAAUAAAAUAAUGUAAUAUGUAGUGGAUUGGAUGCAUUUUAUUUUUUCAUUUUUAU